CAAAGCCAAGAAACCCGCUAAAUCAAAACUUGAGAUUUUCUAUGGAUGUGAGCACCAACCCAAAUUAUACUCUUUUAUUAGCUCCUUUGAUAGCAAGUUCAUCAAUCAAAACUAAAUCCAUCAAAUUAAAUCACACAAAAUAAAAAACUUAUAUUUGUCUGAGUCAUGCUUCUUCGAGUCAUGUUGAAACUUGUGAAUAACUAGUGGUGAUACCAUGUUGUUCAACGCUUGUUGGUAAUAUCUUAUAACGCUAAAACACAAGCAGAUAUCCUUUGCGCUUUUGAACUAUUCAAUGAAAAUUGCUAUGGCCAACCUUCUAUUAGCGAACGAGUCUACGUUAAUCCCUAAAAUAUAUUUUUGACACUGUCAUAUUUCUUGCCUGGUUUUCAAAGCCCGUCUUUACGUGGAUGGAUUUACACUGAAAUGGGUUUGAUUCCAGUGACCAUUUCAUGAGCUUAUGAAGACAUGAGACCCAUCGUUACAUGGAUGAUUUACACUGAAAUGGGUUUGAUUCCAGUGACCAUCUCAUGAGCUUCUGAAGACAUGAGAACUUUUUCAUAUUUCUUCAUAUCUUGAAAAAUUGAUUAAACGUUCAUUUUUUUUAUUUUUUAUUUUUGGUUUCACUGCAGCAUUUUUAGACUAUCAUGAUAUACCAUACAAGGUUGUGGAAGUAAACCCUUUUGGCAAGAAGGAAAUCAAGUGGUCUUACUAUAAGAAGGUUCCUAUUCUAGUUGUGGAUGGUGAACAGCUGGUGGAAUCGUCAGAUAUAAUUGAUAAAUUAAACCAAAGGAUCCAUUCUGAGAGGACCAUUCUUGACGAGGAGGAAUCAAAAUGGAGGAGUAUAUAGCCCAAUGACAUGCUGCUGCUGAUUAAUUGUGAUGGGGACAUCAUCAGAGAUUGCGACACAUGUACCAUCAGGAGAUGUCG